AUGCAUUCGUCACCGCUCGCCCCUUCCCGUAACCUCCAUCGCUAUUCGGCUUGUCCCGGAAUAACACGAGUGGGUCACGAAUACAACGUUGCCAUGUACAG